AGCCACCUUCGGGUGGUGGAAAGUGGCAGACGGGUGAGUAACGCGUGGGAACGUGCCUUUCGGUUCGGGAUAACCCAGGGAAACUUGGGCUAAUACCGGAUACGCCCUCCGGGGGAAAGAUUCAUUGCCGAAAGAUCGGCCCGCGUCGGAUUAGCUAGUUGGUGGGGUAAAAGCCUACCAAGGCGACGAUCCGUAGCUGGUCUGAGAGGAUGACCAGCCACACUGGGACUGAGACACGGCCCAGACUCCUACGGGAGGCAGCAGUGGGGAAUAUUGGACAAUGGGCGAAAGCCUGAUCCAGCCAUGCCGCGUGAGUGAUGAAGGCCCUAGGG
rnacentral:rRNA from 1 species